rnacentral:rRNA from 1 species
UACGGAGGGGGCUAGCGUUGUUCGGAAUUACUGGGCGUAAAGCGCACGUAGGCGGCUUUGUAAGUUAGAGGUGAAAAGCCCGGGGCUCAACUCCGGAAUUGCCUUUUAAGACUGCAUCGCUAGAAUUGUGGAGAGGUAAGUGGAAAUUUCCGAGUGUAGAGGUGAAAAUUCGUAGAUAUUUUGGAAAGAACACCAGUGGCGAAGGCGACUUACUGGACACAUAUUGACGCUGAGGUGCGAAAGCGUGGGGAGCAAACAGG